AUCCUGGACCUCAGCAAAAGUUUCAAGCUUACUGAUCGUUCAUUGUAUGCUGUAGGCCUUGGUUGCCGUGAUCUUACAAAACUGAACAUCAGUGGUUAUUCAGCCUUCAGUGACAGUGCCCUGGCUUACCUUGCCAGCUUCUGCCGAAAGCUGAAAGUUUUGAAUCUCUGUGGAUGUGUUAAAGCUGCAUCUGAUACUGCUUUACAGGCUAUUGUCGUAGCAUUCUGGGAUUCCUCCUAAU